GUACUAGACGCACAGUUAGCAAGUUACCAUCGGGGUAACACAGAAUCAUACGAUUACAACUGCUAGAUCAAUGAGUCAGUUCUUUCAUGAGUCUAUACUAGGAAGAGAGUAUAUACAACUAUACUAUGAGAACAUAUACAACUAUACUAGAACGAGAAACAUUUCAUCACAUAUGCAAGAACACGAUAACAAAUGUGAUCCACUGUAUCGGAGCAUGCCUUAAAUGUCAUGGCCCGAGUUGUAGCCAGAAUUCUCUUGGAGGGAGAGCGUUGAGUUUGCGUAUAGAUCUAUACUGGAUUGACUAUCCUACACCUUGCUGCUAGCUACAGCCGGACCUGCAGGUCUGCGGGUGCCAAA
rnacentral:lncRNA from 1 species